rnacentral:rRNA from 1 species
GUCUGGUAAUGAUGGCAAAGAGGCCACACCCGUUCCCAUCCCGAACACGGUAGUUAAGCUCUUUUGCGCCGAUGGUAGUUGGGGGUUUCCCCCUGUGAGAGUAGGACGUUGCCAGGCU